rnacentral:rRNA from 1 species
UACGUAGGGGGCAAGCGUUGUCCGGAUUUAUUGGGCGUAAAGAGCGUGUAGGCGGCCAGGUAGGUCUGCUGUGAAAACUCGAGGCUCAACCUCGAGAUGUCGGCGGAAACCAUCUGGCUAGAGUCCGGAAGAGGAGAAUGGAAUUCCCGGUGUAGCGGUGAAAUGCGCAGAUAUCGGGAAGAACACCCGUGGCGAAGGCGGUUCUCUGGGACGGUACUGACGCUGAGGUGCGAAAGCGUGGGGAGCAAACAGG